rnacentral:snoRNA from 2 species
CGGUGUGAUGAAUGAUGGGUCUGCUGAGCUGUGAUGACCCGUUGGAGCGCUGACC